CACGCCAGAAAACACACACGAGAACGGGCUCUCCUCUCCCUCGCCUCCCGAUCCCAACUGCCAGGCGCUCGAUCUGGUGCCGCGCCGGCCAUCCGGGCGCGGCAUCGAUGGAUCUGGCGGCGGGUGCGGCGUCUUGCUCCGGUGGCGACGGUGUCCUGCUGAUGCAAAGAGACCAGGGCGUGAGGGAGAGAGGAAGAAAGGAGGAGAAGGGGCACAAGGUGAGGGAGGCAGUCGCCGGCGGCGGCGGCUCCGAUGACCGGCCGGAGGGAAGGGAGAGGAACUCCUAUUGAGGCGGCGUGGCUUGGUGCACGCUGGUUUCUCCGGAUCGACCCCCUACUCAGAGCUGCACGCCCCUGAUGAUUGGAGGUGUGCCUUUCACAUGUUCGUUGAGUUGCAGCAACAAGGACAGAUGGCCAUCUUCACAGGUUAUGCCCCUUACUGUAAUUUGCAUUCAGUUAUGUGCAGUAAUAAUGCCAUAUUUGUUAGCCUGCUAGCUGUUUCCAGAUUUUUUUAGACACGAUUGACUGCUUCUACACAAAAGGAGUUUGUCGAAAAUAAGAGCAAUCCCAUUGUUGCUAUAGAGCCUGAAGAUUCUUUGCCUUUCUUUGAACUGUUUCGGUUUUUUCUUUCAUAUGGCUACAAUUAUUUGAUUGGUCCAUGUAGAUUUAGGCAACAUGAGAUGAGCCGAUGAUAUAUAUUGUAAUAUACGAUGUCUAUUGCUACAAGUGUUGAUGUCUUGGUGAUGGCAGGUUUUGCAAGUAAUUCAAAUGCUUUUUGAGUAGAGGAUAAUUAGAGAUAUAAUGUUCUACCUAAUCUUGAGGUAUGUGAAAGUGAACUCGGUGAUUUUGAGUAAUUCUAAGAGUAUACAUCUCAUCUAUCAGGUAUCCUUUUUUGAGUAAUGCUGAGAGGAUACAUCUCAUCUAUGAGGAAUUAAUCCAUCUUGUUUUCUCUGUGUUUACCUUGUUCUACAAAUGGCUAACUAGGUAAUGAUUAUUGAUAGCUAAUGACAUGAGGGAGAGGGGGACAAGCCCCUUUAGCUACUGCAAUGCGGUUGUGCAUACAAAUGUGCUACUCAUAUUCCACUGUUAGACGAGCUAGGCGCGAGAAGCAGGUUUAGAAGUCAGCUCCAUUUGAUUUACAUUUAGAUCAUCUUGCUACAACACCAUCACUUUUCUUGAUAGAAAACAACAAUUUUUAGUAAUCAUAUAUAGCUUUUCUUUGGUUUGUUUAUUCUAUUAUACCAUAGAUAUCAUGAGAAACUGUUAAUCGCUUAAGGAGGGUGUUCUGUUCACUCAAAAUCAACUGCCUAAUGGUCUGAUUAGUUUAUGUAUGUGAACAUUUAUUUUAAUAAUUAUAGUUGCAAUUUCCAGUCAAGGCAUAUGUUCUUUUAUACUUUUAUAGUGAGUCUACAAUAGGUUGAAUAGAUUCGAUUUCUAUUUCCUUUCCUCGUCAUCGCCCGCUUAGGUUAUAAGGGGAGCCAGAGAGGUGAGGGAGGUGACCAAAGCGGCAGCGGCCUUGGGGUGCCGAAGAAGAGUGCGUAGGAGGAUGGAAAGGGGCUCGUAUACGACGGCUAGAAGAGAACUAUGCUCUCCUAAACCUGAAUGGGCCAGAAGUGACAAGACAGACAGAUCUGGCAGUCAAUUAUUCUUCAGUUUCGGUUGUGAUGUUUCAACAUGAGUUCAGAGCGUUAAUGCUUUGCUGAUGCGAGGAGGUGAAGUUGUAUGCUACCAGAGUGCAGAUAUUUCUUGGUAUCUUUACUUUCAAGAAAAGAUGGAUGUGUGUUGUGACUGUGACAGAUGGUUCUACUGGAUAUGUUGUUGGGUUUAUAACAAGAAGCAUUGGUAAGGAUAUCAAAAUACAAGAGAAUGUUGCAACGACCAAGGUGCCAUAUAUAUAUAUCGAAGGUGCUCGCAAACUUCCUUCGACUGGAGGAUUCAGAAUAUGAAGUUACUGGAAACAUUGUUGGAAGUGUUGGUCCUGAGAGCACAGAAAAGGAUUCAUCGUUUCUUAUAAAAACAUUACAAUCAUUCAAAGAAGCUUUGAUUAAGGAGGAUCACACAAAUGUUGCUGAGAUUGAGGCCUUCUUACUUUGCAUUGAUGUCGAUGAUGAGAAGAACUCUCUUAUGAGGAAAAUCAUUGCUUUGAAUUAUUGAUAACCGUGAGAGAUCGUGUCUUGAGAGCAGGUGCAGAAUCUGAAUUCUACAGAUUGAGAGCAGGUGCAGAUUCUGAAUUCUGCACACAGAAGACAGAACAGAGAGCUGGUGGCAAAUGUGCAAGGGGAAGUUAUGGAGAGCCUUCUUUGCUAGCUGAAUAAGUCUAUCAGGAGUCAAGGCCUGUUUUGUUGGAGGCUUGAUGUAACUUGCCUGGCCUGAUAAGUAACUGUGCGCGCGGUCGUCCUGGGUGCUUGGCUUGAGCUAGCAUGCCGUGUUGUUAUCUUGGUUGAGGCAGCUGGAGUUAGCAAGGUGAUUAGUCAAGGGUGGCUGUCGAUGCCAUCUAAAAAAUAGGUGUUAAAACUUCAUAUUUUCUCAGGAAAAAUGCAUAUGAAUUAAUGAAUAUCAGGCUACAUUCAGGCGAUAUUGUUUGUCAGGCACAACGCUCAGGGUAGCAACCACAUAUUUAAGUGAGCUUUUGUUGAAAUGCGUUGGUACUUUAGUUUUUAGAUUCUAUGAUGAUGGUAUGCAUAAAUACAUGAGCUCUUUCAACUAGUACCACAUAGUAUUAAUGAGGUAACAGAAGCUUGCAAUUCCAUUAUCCUGCAUCUGCCCAAGUCUAGAAGGUCAGAUAAGUUGUUCCGCAAGAUAGACAACAAUUUUUUAUGAGUCAUCACAGUGGGCCGAGAACUUGUUGAUGAAGCCAAUGAUUGGGUUGAUCAUAGUGAUACGGCAUCAGACGUAAUGCUAGAUUUAACCCCAGACAAAUGGGCAAACAUGAAAAGAGGAAAGAUGUCAAUGCAUGAGCCAGAGGGUUCCAGUGGUGAAUAUUUUGGACCAGAAGUUAUGGAUGUUUCAUGCGAAGAAGCCAUUCUUUCCAAUGUUUACAUAUAAGAUAUACCAGUACAUCCCAAUUGGUAGGGCCCCUCCACUGAUAAGCUGGAUAUCCUUUUAACAAGUGGCUCGGAGAGAAUAAAGCGUUAGAUUUUAUCAUACUUUUACAGUUUAACAUGUCAAAGAAGGGAGAGGAGACACCAGCGGAUGGCAAGAUGGAUGAACUGUUGGACAGUGUUAGCCUUAAUUACCUAAUUCCUAAUGAAGUGGAAAACUUUAUGACCAGCAUAGAAAAUGUGCAACACUCUUCUUCUGAGCAUGAAGGGCAGAAUGAUGAUUUCGAAGCAAAUAUCAUUGAGCAAGAUGAUGAACACAUUGGAAAGAUUUUACUAAUCUUAUUGUUGCAUGCAAAGACAUUGGUGAUGUCAUAUCAGAAGACCCAUAGAAGGUUUAGGUUUCUGAGGGCAAGCAGAAAUAAGUGAUAGCUAUGCCGGUAUUCUAAAUAAUGGCAACACAUAUUAUGUAAACACAGUUCUGCAGUAUUUUCAUUGUUUAUCGGAGCUCAAAGAAAUCUUAAUAAUUUGUGAAGACGUAUGAGUGCU